rnacentral:rRNA from 1 species
UACGUAGGGUGCAAGCGUUGUCCGGAAUUAUUGGGCGUAAAGAGCUCGUAGGUGGUUUGUUACGUCCGCUGUGAAAUCCUAGGGCUUAACCCUGGGCUUGCAGUGGAUACGGGCAGACUAGAGGUAGGUAGGGGAGAAUGGAAUUCCUGGUGUAGCGGUGAAAUGCGCAGAUAUCAGGAGGAACACCGGUGGCGAAGGCGGGUCUCUGGGCCGAUACUGACGCUGAGGAGCGAAAGCGUGGGGAGCGAACAGG